rnacentral:rRNA from 1 species
CCUACGGGGGGCAGCAGUGAGGAAUAUUGGUCAAUGGGCGGGAGCCUGAACCAGCCAAGCCGCGUGAGGGAAGAAGGUACAGCGUAUCGUAAACCUCUUUUGUCAGGGAACAAAGGCGGGGACUAGUCCCCGGAUGAGGGUACCUGAAGAAAAAGCAUCGGCUAACUCCGUGCCAGCAGGCGCGGUAAUACGGGGGAUGCGAGCGUUAUCCGGGUUUAUUGGGUUUAAAGGGUACGCAGGGGGCCUGUUAAGUCAGUGGGAAAAGCCCGGGGGUCAACCCCGGCGGGCCGUUGAAACUGGCGGGCUGGAGUUGGAGAGAAGUACGCGGAAUGCGCGGUGUAGCGGUGAAAUGCUUAGAUAUCGCGCAGAACCCCGAUUGCGAAGGCAGCGUACCGGCUCCACACUGACGCUGAGGCACGAAAGCGUGGGUAUCGAACAGGAUUAGAUACCCUGGUAGUC